GACGAACGCUGGCGGCGUGCUUAACACAUGCAAGUCGAACGGAAAGGCCCUGCUUUUGUGGGGUGCUCGAGUGGCGAACGGGUGAGUAACACGUGAGUAACCUGCCCUUGACUGUGGGAUAACUUCAGGGAACUGGGGCUAAUACCGGAUAGGAGCUCCUGCUGCAUGGUGGGGGUUGGAAAGUUUCGGCGGUUGGGGAUGGACUCGCGGCUUAUCAGCUUGUUGGUGGGGUAGUGGCGUACCAAGGCUUUGACGGGUAGCCGACCUGAGAGGGUGACCGGGGACCUUGGGACUGCGAUAGGGAGCAGAAUCCUACGGGAGGCAGCAGUCGGGAAUAUUGCACAAUGGCGGGAAGCCAGAUGCAGCAACGCCGCGUGCGGGAUGACGGCCUUCGGGUUGUAAACAGCUUUCGCCUGUGACGAAGAGUGCGUGACGGUAAUUGGUCAAGAAGCACCGGCUAACUACGUG
rnacentral:rRNA from 1 species